UACAGAGGGGGCAAGCGUUAUUCGGUAUUAUUGGGCGUAAAGGGCGCGUAGGCGGCUUUUCAAGUGAGGGGUGAAAUCCCUCGGCUUAACCGAGGAACUGCCUGUCAGACUGGAAGGCUUGAGACCGGGAGAGGUGAGUGGAAUUCCCAGUGUAGCGGUGAAAUGCGUAGAUAUUGGGAGGAACACCAGUGGCGAAGGCGGCUCACUGGACCGGAACUGACGCUGAGGCGCGAAAGCGUGGGGAGCAAACAGG
rnacentral:rRNA from 1 species